rnacentral:lncRNA from 1 species
AAUACCAAAAAGUGUGCUUCCCAAAGUAAUGCACUUGUAAGACUAUAGUGAGGCCAGAGCAACGCUUAGCCUACAGGGAAGGAAUAAUGAAGUGCUUCCACCCCAAAAUGUAAUUAAUUCACCUCACAUAAAAGGACAGAACCGGCAGUUUAAAGUUUUUAAAGGUGGCUAGGUCAGGUAGGGUUUUUGAGUGACAGUGCUCCUUAAAGGGACUGUAAAUAGCAAAUACUGAGUUUAGUGAUUGAGAAAGCAGUCACACAUCAGGUGUGAGCAAAGAGGUGGGAUCCGGUCUGUCCUUAACGUUCAGAGCCUCUGAGCCCAUGUGGGCAGAGCAGAGGUCAUCCUGUGAAGUGAUUCCUGACAGCAGACUGGAAUAGGCUAAACAGCUCACUGACAGGCUGCUGGGUGCUGGGAUCCAGGAGCUGCGCUCAGCUUCAUUUCUGUGAUUGGCUGCAGUGAAGCUACAUUUGAGCUUCAGUGUGAUAACUUAAGUAAUGGCCAAAGAGGUUCUAAUGGGAGGAUCCAAACGUGGGUGUAUCAUGUACUUUCUCACAGAGGACUCAAUACAGUCAGUAUCCUGUCGACUUGAAGAUGUUUGGAUUUCUGUAAGCUUUAAGUUUUCUUUAUCUGAUGCCUGUUACAUGCUAUGCUCAGGCACUGAACAAAAGACAAAUCCUCUGGCCAUGUUUAGACAGGCUUUUGUCCAUCCAUUACAGAGCAAAAUCACUGGCACUGUGUGGCUGGGUUGAGGGAGCCCCUGCCUGCUGUGCACAAGGCUCUGGGGUUCGCCUUGCCAUUUACAUUUGCUAAUUGCUGUCCGUGUACCAAAACGAUGGCCCUUCUGCUGGCUGUGCUCUUUAGAUAGGUUGGACCACUACUUAAACCAAAUGUCCCAUUGUGCUUCCUGCUGUGCCUUAGGAGUCAGAGUGUGUACUCACAGCAGCUGUGCCUUCCUUCCUUAGUGUCUGUAGUUGUACUUGACUGUUUAGAAUGGGAGCACAGAGAUCAGCAGUGAGGAGGGCCAGUGUGGCCCCUUCCCCACGCCCCUCUCUCCUCCUCCCACUGUUUUCACCAGACAUAUGACAAAAUACCCAAGAUAAACAGCUUAAAAAGAGGAAAUGUUUAUUUGGGCUCACAGUUUUCGGCCAUGUCAGCGCCAGGGUGCUUGGCCCUGUUGCUUUGGGGCUGGGGAAGAAGCAGGGUGCUGUGGCAGAGGGGAGCUGCCCAGGUCAUGGCAGCUCAGCUGGCAACAGAGAGGCAAGGAAGGCCCAGGGGUCCUGAUACAACCCAGUACGUAACUCUCCUCAACAGAGUCCUACUCCACAGUUCCUACCUUCUUUAAGCUAAGGAUCAAGCCUUCAACAUAGGAGAUUUGGGGUACAUUUAAGAUCCAAAUAGGACCAGCCACCACUACCAAGGAUUUUUUAUAGGAGCAAUUAUAUGGAGAGUGUUAAGAGCUAACUACACCCUUUCUAGGCAAGAGAGCCAGGUAUUCCCACAGAAAAGGAGGUGGGUUGAUAAAGUCCCAAGCACCGGCAGCAAACUCAGAGGAUGCAGAAGAAAGAGCUUGAGAGGGGACCUCACAGCCUGCUGCUCCUAUCACACGGCGUCCACACAUAGCUGACCAUAUUUCUAGGCAGCCUGGCUGUCCCAGGUUUCGCUCCACCGGAGAACUACUUUGUCCAUCCUGGAGAUGACUUGGCUCAAGAAAGCGGGGCUGAAUAGAAGAGUGCCGUCUUUAGUCUGAGCUGAAGCUGUAGACAUGAAGUGCCCCAGAGAGCCGGGCUCCCCAAGAACUCCUUCCAGCAGCAACAACCACUUGGUUCUGUGGAGGACACAAGACAGACAGCACUAGUGACAUUCCCACCAUGAAGCAGACGUCAUUCUGUGCUCUGAAGUACACAUAAAAGCAAUGCUGGCCACACCCCACAGCCAGAACUUGUGUCUCUCUCUUUGUUCAGACGCCACUUUCUCAGAUCUGAUAAGUUCCAAACCCCACUGUUGUACAAGGGGACCCCAGAACCUCACUGUGGUCGGUGCAUGUGCCCACAUCUGGAGUGGCGGGGGCUUGCACGGGCCACCUUCACAAAGCAUCCCUGCUGCCUACACUGUUCUCAAGCUCACUUUCAGAAUUCUCUCCAGAGUCUGCUGCAGGUUGUGAAACAUUGUAGUAAUGGCAAAUCUUCACAACAGUUCAAUUUGAUCUUGGGGAAUAGCCAAAAGUUAUUUUAGAUUUUUGUUGGUGAGUAGUGUAGCUGGUUAUGCUGGCUGAUAGCACUUUAGACAGCAGGCUGUGACAUUUAUCUUGUUGGUUGUAUUUUAACAUUAAUAAUCCCAAAAUGAUAAUAAUGGUAGCAAUGUAUUGUGGCCUGAUCAUGUAUCAGGAUUCUAGGUGGGGCCCUUACUGGCACCGCCUUAUAAUACGCCAAGGUCAGUCAACACAAGAGAAAAAUAAUCUUUUCAGUUGGCAAAGUGGUAAUUUCUUCUCUUCCAUUUUUUAUGUAAUUACUAAUUUACUAAAUGUGCUUUUACUUUGGCUAUAUUCUAUGUCUCCUUUCUAUUUCCUGGUCAAACCAUGCUCCUCCCCAAAAGUUAAACUUCCUGGCUGCUUGCCAUCUCCCUGGUCUAACCAUCUCAGAACCACGAGUUCUGCAUAGACAGCCACUGUCUGUAUCCCUGUGUCAUUGUACCUUGAUGCCAAAGGUCUUAGCUGCGUUUUAUGCUUUGGUCUAAGCUGUAAGCGGAGACUUGGCCGUGUCGGACUGCUCUGUCUUCUCGGCUGUCCAGUGAAGCAGAGUCAAUGUCCUGCUGAGGCUCACCAACUGACAUGGGCACAAUGACAGUGCCAGUGCUCCUUACACACGUCUCCAGUCCCACCAGCUCACGUGUCCUUCCUUCCUGAGUCCUACCUCAGGUCUCAGGGAAAGGCCACUGAGCUAAUAGCCUGUCUUAGUUGUGAGAUGGGAAAGUGGGGGAUGUUAAUACACAAGUGAACUGCAGUUAGGAAGGCUAACUUGUAGAGUUAACAGAGUUAACUGUAAAGUCCUUUCCAAUGACCUUGAUCACUGCUACCCUUGGUCAGUGUUCCAGACAAUGUCUAAUUUCUUGAAAAUGCAUAAAAUUGUAAGUAAAAGCCAAGCAUAUCCUUUAGAGAAUCCUUCCAUAAACUUAAUAACUGCUGUUUCUAGUAGCUAACCCUGGUCUGUCAUGGUCUGUCAGUGAGGACUGUUGGCCACCAGAGGGCAACUUCACUGUGAGUCUGCCAAGCACCUCCCAAGCCUUUACCAGAUUGCUGUCACCAGUUUAGGACUGCCCACGCUUGGGACUCCUGCUCACGUUGCCCCCCAGCGUUGCCCCCCAGCUGCUCGUCGUGUGCCAGUCUCACAGACCUGUGUGUAUCUUCCGAGCAGUCGGCAUCCUUCCUUUGUUAAUAGCCUGGCACAGUCUUAAAAUACCAGUCCUGGGAUGAGCAAAUGCUUUUGUGGGUUAGUUUGGUUUCCUUUGUUUUGACACAGGGUCUCACUCUAGCUCAAGUUAACUUGGAACUCUUGAGUCCCAGGCUGGCCUCAGAUGCCUACCUCAGAUUCCCAAGUGCUGGGAUUAGAGGCAUGAGUCACCACACCUGGCUCUUUAUUAGUAUAUAUUAAGGUAAAUUUCUUAUAUUUAUUGAAAUAUUAAAUAUAUAGAAGAAACUUUUAGGAGUCCCACUGCUGUGUUUCUUGCCUACAAGGAUAUUUGCAUAAUUAUGUAAAAAUACAGGUGCAAAAAUGUUCACUACAGCACUAUCUGCAAUAAUAAAAAAAUGGAAAUAGCAUAAAUAUAAGAGUGUAAUUUAAUUGAAUUAUGGACUGUCCAAAAAAUAAAGUAUUGUGUAAC